rnacentral:lncRNA from 10 species
CUCCACCCAGUUGGAGCUUCCAGGCUGCUUUGUUUACCUAAGCAAGCCUGGCAAUGGCGGGCGCCCCUCCCCCAGCCUCGCUGCCACCUUGCAGUUUGAUCUCAGAUUGCUGUGCUAACAAUCAGCCAGACUCCUUGGGCGUAGGACCCUCCGAGCCAGGUGUGGGAUAUAAUCUCGUGGUGCGCCAUUUUUUAAGCUGGUCAGAAAAGCGCAGUAUUCAGGUGGGAGUGGCCCGAUUUUCCAGGUGCGUCGGUCACCCGUUUCUUUGACUCGGAAAGGGAACUCCCUGACCCCUUGCGCUUCCCAAGUGAGGCAAUGCCUCUCCCUGCUUCGGCUCGCGCAUGGUGCGCGCACCCACUGACCUGCGCCCACUGUCUGGCACUCCCAAGUGAGAUGAACCCGGUACCUCAGAUGGAAAUGCAGAAAUCACCCGUCUUCUGCAUCGCUCACGCUGGGAGCUGUAGACAGGAGCUGUUCCUAUUCGGCCAUCUUGGCUCCUCUCGAUAAUUGCUUUCAUGUGAACCCUUCAUAAGGUAAAAUCAAAUCCCUAUUAGGAUAAAUGAUUGAGUGUUCCUGUAAAGAAUUGUUCCCCUGGUUCAAGCAACCAGAUUUCAUUCCCAGAUGAUCAAAAAUGGACUUGAUGAAAUGGAAAAGCACUGAUAGAAACAGUUCCACUGCUCAAAAUUACUCCUGAAGGGAUGAGGACACCAGGAUAUGCCACCGGACCACUGAAGGAAUGGUGAUGGUAUGAAGAAAGUAUUUUUAAUGAGCAGAGCCAUUGUUUGCUCUGCUCUGUCCUCACCCCUCAAGAGAAUUUCCCUUAUUAUUAUGAAAACUUUUUAUCUUAAAAGAUAUUACAUGUUAAUGGAACUGUCGUUUAACAAAUGUUUUAUAAGUGUACCAAUCAAGCACAUUGUCGAAAUAAAAGAUAUGAAAUAAGUGAAAAAAA